rnacentral:rRNA from 1 species
AGUGAACGCUGGCGGUAGGCCUAACACAUGCAAGUCGAACGGCAGCACAGUAAGAGCUUGCUCUUACGGGUGGCGAGUGGCGGACGGGUGAGGAAUACAUCGGAAUCUACUUUUUCGUGGGGGAUAACGUAGGGAAACUUACGCUAAUACCGCAUACGACCUACGGGUGAAAGCAGGGGAUCUUCGGACCUUGCGCGGAUGAAUGAGCCGAUGUCGGAUUAGCUAGUUGGCGGGGUAAAGGCCCACCAAGGCGACGAUCCGUAGCUGGUCUGAGAGGAUGAUAAGCCACACUGGAACUGGGACACGGUCCAGACUCCUACGGGAGGCAGCAGUGGGGAAUAUUGGACAAUGGGCGCAAGCCUGAUCCAGCCAUACCGCGUGGGUGAAGAAGGCCUUCGGGUUGUAAAGCCCUUUUGUUGGGAAAGAAAAGCAGCAGGUUAAUACCCCGCUGUUCUGACGGUACCCAAAGAAUAAGCACCGGCUAACUUCGUG